rnacentral:lncRNA from 10 species
CCGCCACCUGCUGUGGAGCUGUCCUGCAGGCCAGGAAGAAAGUGCCCACGCUGCACAGAGUAGCAUGGGACAAAGGCUUGAGUGGGAAGUGGGUGGCGGGUGUCCUAUCACGGAGCCACCACCCCAAGAAGCAAUGGGCUGGGAGGGGAACUGCAAAUCACAGGAGGAAGCCAAAGAAGACCCUUCAACUAACUGAUCACACAAAGUUGUAUCAACUAGCCUUAAUGAGACGAGGUCUUUGUCACGUUUCCUUUGUGCCAACUCCCUUACCUCAGGACCAGCACCACCACCAUCAUCAACAUCAUCAUCAUCAUCAUCAAAA